rnacentral:rRNA from 1 species
UACGUAGGCAGCAAGCGUUGUUCGGAGUUACUGGGCGUAAAGGGCGCGUAGGCGGCGACUCAAGUUAGAUGUGAAAGUCCUGGGCUUAACCUGGGGACUGCAUUUGAUACUGGGUUGCUUGAAUUCGGGAGAGGAUAGCGGAAUUCCCAGUGUAGAGGUGAAAUUCGUAGAUAUUGGGAAGAACACCGGUGGCGAAGGCGGCUAUCUGGACCGACAUUGACGCUGAGGCGCGAAAGCGUGGGGAGCAAACAGG